UUGAUUAAUUACAAUUUUAUUCGCCAGGGGACUACGAGCGUAAGCUUAAAACCCAAAGGACUUGGCGGUGCCCUAUACCUCCUAGAGGAGCCUGUUCUAUAAUCGAUGAUCCACGUUAUACCUCACCGUUUCUUGCCAAACCCGCCUAUAUACCGCCGUCUCCAACUUACCCUAUGAAGGAUUCACAGUAGGUUUAAAGAUCACUCAUCAGAACGUCAGGUCAAGGUGUAGCGAAUGAAACGGGAAGAAAUGGGCUACAUUUUCUACCUUAGAUCACACGGAUAAUCAAUAUGAAACCUGAUUAUGAAGGAGGAUUUAGCAGUAAAAAGAAACCAACAUGUUCUUUUUAAGUCGGACCUAGGGCGCGUACACACCGCCCGUCACCCUCUUCGACUCAUUUCACUAUAUUUCAUAAUAAAUAACUAGAGAUAAGAAGAGGCAAGUCGUAACAUGGUAAGUAUACCGGAAGGUGUACUUGGAAC
rnacentral:rRNA from 1 species